GACGAACGCUGGCGGCGUGCUUAACACAUGCAAGUCGAACGGAAAGGCCCUGCUUUUGUGGGGUGCUCGAGUGGCGAACGGGUGAGUAACACGUGAGUAACCUGCCCUUGACUUUGGGAUAACUUCAGGAAACUGGGGCUAAUACCGGAUAGGAGCUCCUGCUGCAUGGUGGGGGUUGGAAAGUUUCGGCGGUUGGGGAUGGACUCGCGGCUUAUCAGCUUGUUGGUGGGGUAGUGGCUUACCAAGGCUUUGACGGGUAGCCGGCCUGAGAGGGUGACCGGCCACAUUGGGACUGAGAUACGGCCCAGACUCCUACGGGAGGCAGCAGUGGGGAAUAUUGCACAAUGGGCGGAAGCCUGAUGCAGCAACGCCGCGUGCGGGAUGACGGCCUUCGGGUUGUAAACCGCUUUCGCCUGUGACGAAGCGUGAGUGACGGUAAUGGGUAAAGAAGCACCGGCUAACUACGUGCCAGCAGCCGCGGCGAUACGUAGGGUGCGAGCGUUGUCCGGAUUUAUUGGGCGUAAAGGGCUCGUAGGUGGUUGAUCGCGUCGGAAGUGUAAUCUUGGGGCUUAACCCUGAGCGUGCUUUCGAUACGGGUUGACUUGAGGAAGGUAGGGGAGAAUGGAAUUCCUGGUGGAGCGGUGGAAUGCGCAGAUAUCAGGAGGAACACCAGUGGCGAAAGCGGUUCUCUGGCCCUUUCCUGACGCUGAGGAGCGAAAGCGUGGGGAGCGAACAGGCUUAGAUACCCUGGUAGUCCACGCUGUAAACGGUGGGUACUAGGUGUGGGGUCCAUUCCACGGGUUCCGUGCCGUAGCUAACGCUUUAAGUACCCCGCCUGGGGAGUACGGCCGCAAGGCUAAAACUCAAAGGAAUUGACGGGGCCCCGCACAAGCGGCGGAGCAUGCGGAUUAAUUCGAUGCAACGCGUAGAACCUUACCUGGGUUUGACAUGGAUCGGGAGUGCUCAGAGAUGGGUGUGCCUCUUUUGGGGUCGGUUCACAGGUGGUGCAUGGCUGUCGUCAGCUCGUGUCGUGAGAUGUUGGGUUAAGUCCCGCAACGAGCGCAACCCUUGUUCACUGUUGCCAGCACGUUAUGGUGGGGACUCAGUGGAGACCGCCGGGGUCAACUCGGAGGAAGGUGGGGAUGACGUCAAGUCAUCAUGCCCCUUAUGUCCAGGGCUUCACGCAUGCUACAAUGGCUGGUACAGAGAGUGGCGAGCCUGUGAGGGUGAGCGAAUCUCGGAAAGCCGGUCUCAGUUCGGAUUGGGGUCUGCAACUCGACCUCAUGAAGUCGGAGUCGCUAGUAAUCGCAGAUCAGCAACGCUGCGGUGAAUACGUUCCCGGG
rnacentral:rRNA from 1 species